GAUGCCGAAAUAUGUUAUGCUACCUACACGGUGAACCAUAACGAUAAGUACAAGAUUGACUGUGAGCAUGGCUGUUGUGGAAACUACUACUACAGGAAGUGCUGUUCUAAUCCACUGAUUCCUGUUAUUGUUGGAUCCAUUAUCGGCGGUAUCUGCUUCCUCGGCUGGGUUAUAUUCUUAAUAUGUCUGUGUUUAUACUGUAGCAAAAAACAAAAUAGAUCGGUUAAUCCUGCCGAGCCGGGUGUACACUAUUCUGUCCAGCAGAACGCAGUCUACCAACAACAAACGAUGGCCGUGGCCUAUUCUACCCCUGUGGUGAUGUACAGUCUUCCAAAUGAACCGCCACCAGAAUAUGGAGCAGUGGGUUCAUCGAAUCCGUCCGAAUUCCAUCACUCACUUCCGGAGAAACAUUAACUCAUGAUUAUACAAUAACUACGAGAUAAAAACCUGUUUAAACCACCAGUCUUACGUACCUUGUAUAUAAGGGACGAGUAGAAUCGCUGUCGACAGCAAGAUCUACAUAUUAUUAGGUACCACAAUUAUACUAGUUGAUAUUGUCGGGACAACAUGUAUAUUUAAUGAUGUUUAUACAUGUAUGUUUUCUUCCAACUAAUCAUAAGCCCUUUUUUGA